rnacentral:lncRNA from 1 species
AAUGUACUGCAGUGAAUAAUUGCCAAUCAUGUAUAAACAGAAAGAAAUGUUUUUGGUGCAGUGAAGAAAAGGCUUGCAAAAAAAUUUGUUUUCUAAAUUCUCAGUGUCCUGUCAGUUGUUCAUUUUGGUUAAACUGUCAAGUUGACAUGUUUGGAUUCCUGAUGCUUCUACUCCUUGCGGUCAUGGUUAUAGCGUUCAUUUGUCAAUGCUGCAUUUAUCAACAUUACCUACAGAGAGUUUUGAAAUCCACCUGACAAAAUUUUAAACUCCUUUGAAAAGGAUGUUCAAUGCCUUUUUGGAAUAAGGCAGUAUUUUCCACAUUCAAGUUGCUGCCUGGCCAAAUCCACAAACAGCAAUGUUAUUAAAGAAAGUCUUCGUUGGAUUGUAGGUGAGAUGAGAUGACCCUAAUCAUCGCGACUGUACAACCAACAGAAAUUUACUCCAAACUUUCACUUUCUUAUAAAUUCGGUCCUCAUAUAAUAAAAAGGGAG